AUGUCAGGGAGGGACGUUGCUCCAGGCCACCGGGUGUAACAGCCGAUGACAGUGUGUCGACACGUGGAUGACGAUGAAGACGUGCCUCUGCUGCUGCGUGCCACUGCACCUGGCAGCCAGUUCUACCGGCACCGUACCAGCGUGGGGCCACGUCCAUCUGGCCGCUGGGACAUUCCAUCAUCGCCGGUCAGGACUCAUGUAGAGGAACACCACCUCCUCUACAACAACAAUUUGCCUUUCGCCAUAUUUCAAGUGAUUUCGACGGCAGAUAUACGACGUCGUUGUUGUCCAAACCGAAACCAUGCAACCACAUGGUCCCACGGGGUGUGUACUCCUCCUCGUCGUUCACAGUUGGCUGAGAGAAUUGAAUGCCGAUGACGUAAGCCCGCUUCGAAGGCAUAUAUCCAGCGGUCACGCCCUGCUAUUGUUGUCUGAUAACUGCGCCACCGUUGUACUGAAUACGAUUAAAUGUCAAUGUGUGUACGA